rnacentral:miRNA from 1 species
GGAGGAUUGCUUGAACCCGGGAGGUGGAGGUUGCAGUGAGCUGAGAUCACGCCACUGCACUCCAGCCUGGGC